UACAGAGGAUGCAAGCGUGAUUCGGACUUACUGGGCCUAAAGCGAACGUAGGCGGUCUGUCAAGUCGGAUGUGAAAUCCCCGGGCUCAACCUGGGAACUGCAUACGAAACUGGCAGGCUAGAGUCUUGUAGAGGGGGGUAGAAUUCCAGGUGUAGCGGUGAAAUGCGUAGAGAUCUGGAGGAAUACCGGUGGCGAACGCGGCCCCCUGGACAAAGACUGACGCUCAGGUGCGAAAGCGUGGGGAGCAAACAGG
rnacentral:misc_RNA from 1 species